AUUGAACGCUGGCGGCAGGCCUAACACAUGCAAGUCGAGCGAGCGGCGGACGGGUGAGUAAUGUAUGGGGACUGCCUGAUAGAGGGGGAUAACUACUGGAAACGGUGGCUAAUACCGCAUACUAUCGGAUAACCCAUAUGGGAUUAGCUAGUAGGGGGGGUAAAGGCUAACCUAGGCGACGUUGUCUAGCUGUUCUGAGAGGAUGAUCAGCAGCACUGGGACUGAGACACGGCCCAUACUCCUACGGAGGCAGCAGUGGGGAAUAUUGCACAAUGGGCGCAAGCCUGAUGCAGCCAUGCCGCGUGUGUGAAGAAGGCCUUAGGGUUGUAAAGUCCUUUCAGCGGGGAGGCGUUAACCACAGAAGAAGCACCGGCUAACUCCGUGCCAGCAGCCGCGGUAAUAC
rnacentral:rRNA from 1 species